CGGAUGGGCCCUCUGGAAAUCAUCUUGAACCCUCUUCCUUUCUUUCACAGGCCAAUAAACACACAACAGGAUCCAUCAGCUGAGCCAAGAACAGAGAUAAGGUCAAUUGUCUGCUAAGACGGCUGCAAACAAUUCCUUCAGUCCCUGGACAUUUGUGUCAUGCUUCCCAUCAAGAGAGCUCUGAGCCACCAUGUAAGGACCCUGCUGGAGAAGGGGGACAGCCAUCCCCCACAGCCCUUUCCAGCUUCUCCAACCAAGGAAAGCCUGGGACUGUGACACUAUCUUGAUCUUCCAGCCUCAGUCAAGAUCCUCUCCCUCAACACCACUUGGAAAUGAGAUAAGCUGUCUCCCCAAAACCCUGUCCAAUUGGUAUCACCAUGAAUGCACAGUUACUGUUUUGGUCUGCUUUGAUUUGGAAUGUUUUGUUACACAGCAGAAUUUCCCUGAAACAAGGGAUAGCACUGAUCUAUAUUCUUGUCUGAGAUCUCCUGUGUGUUCUCUUCUUUGGAUUAGGACAGGCCAGGAGAAAUCUUGGGUACUUCUCUCUCCCCAUUGCUCAUACUAGACAUGGCUGGUUGAUUCAAUGCUCUUUCCCUUUUAGUCCAGACUCUGCCUUAAACCUCACUGUGGAGCUCUAGACGGCAACUACUAAGUCAUGAGUGUAGGUCUUUGAACUGAAACUAUUUGCCAUUCUAGGGUUAGUCAUCAUGUUUCAAAAGGAAAAGGGGAGUGAUGUCCCCUCGUAAUCCACUAGUACCUUCUAGAGCCACGGAAUGCUAAAGAUGAUAGAACUUUACAGAUCCUCUAACCUAGUGGUUCUGAACCCUGGUUGCAGACUAAAAUUACCUGUCCUGCUUCGUUGUUUGUUUUAUUUUGUAUUUUCAAGACAGACUUUAAAAAAAUAAACAGAAUUAAAAGGCUUUAACAGGGGCAGCCCGGGUGGCUGAACGGUUUAGUGCUGCCUUCAGCCUGGAGCAUGAUCCUGGAGACCUGGGAUCGAGUCCCACAUCGGGCUCCCUGCAUGGGGCCUGCUUCUCCCUCUGACUGUGUCUCUGCCUCUCUCUCUCUCUCUCUCAUGAAUAAAUAAAUAAAAUCUUUUAAAAUAAAUAAAUAAAUGAAUACCUUUAACAUGAUUAUAGAUUAAUACUACGGACACCUUAAGCUCAAAACUAUAAACAUAAUUCAGAUUACAAAGGUUAUUUGACAAGAGUUUUAGGUUACAAACAUAAAACAUGACCUUUUUUAUAUUAUCCAAGUAACUGCAAUGAAUCUAUCUUUAAGGACAUCAGUACAGUCUUUUUAAAAACUAUUUUACCUGGAAUCACUUAAAUUUUUAACCAUUCUAAAAGUAUGAAAAUUUAAACAUUUUACUGUAUUUUUUCUAUAUAUUUUGAGUAGAAAAUACAGUUCCAGGGAUGCCUGGAUGGCUCAGUGGUUGAGCAUCUGCCUUCAGCUCAGGGCGUGAUCCGGGGGUCUUCAGAUGAGUCCUGUAUCAGGUUCCCUGUGGGGAGCCUGCUUCUCCCUCUGCCUGGGUCUCUGUCUCUCUCUCUGUGUACCUCAUGAAUAAAUAAAUAAAAUCUUAAAAACAAAAAAACCAAAACAGUUCCAAGUAGAUAUUACUACUCAUGACUGAAAGGAAAAAAAUGUUUCAAAUACAAAUUCACCAACUAACUGUAAGAGGAAUUAGAGGUGAAAAGAUUUAUGAAAAUACUUCUGCACCCUUCCUAUUUAGUAGGGUAGCAUGCCUUGU
rnacentral:lncRNA from 1 species